AGAUGCGAUCAUACCAGCACUAACGCACCGGAUCCCAUCAGAAUUCUGAAGUCAAGCGUACUUGGGCGAGAGUAGUACUAGGAUGAGUGACGCCUGGGAAGUCCUCUUGUUGCAUCCC
rfam:Nicotiana sylvestris Nsyl_contig33635, whole genome shotgun sequence.